GGUAAAAUGGCUGAAGAAUAGGCGGUAAAUUGUAAAUUUAUUAAUGAAUAUAAUUCUUUUACUA
rnacentral:tRNA from 1 species